rnacentral:rRNA from 1 species
UACAGGGGGCUCGAGCGUUAGGCGGAAUCACUGGGCUUAAAGCGUGUGUAGGUGGAUGCCUAAGUACCUUGUGAAACCCCACGGCUUAACCGUGGAACUGCUGGGUAUACUGGGCGUCUUGAGCCACUCAGGGGCUACCGGAACAAGCGGUGGAGCGGUGAAAUGCGUAGAUAUCGCUUGGAACGCCAAUGGUGAAAACAGGUAGCUGGGGGUGUGCUGACACUGAGACACGAAAGCCAGGGGAGCAAACGGG